AUCGCAUAAAGAUUUGUCCUGAUUUACAUAAACUUCAGCUUUGAUUUUCUCGGCUUAGACAAUGUUUAUUUUUAAAAUUACUUCGCCAAUGUCAAUGAACUCAUAAGAUAAGUCAUUUUAUAAGCACGAUAAAACAUUCGCAUCCGAUCUUUAUCUGAUAUACAAACUCUCGCCUUCGGCUCGAGUUUUUAUAUCAGAUAAAGAUCGGCUGCUCAUGUUUUAU